rnacentral:rRNA from 1 species
GAUGAACGCUAGCGGCAGGCCUAAUACAUGCAAGCCGAACGGCAAGUUUGAUAGCAAUAUUGGACCUAGAGUGGCGCAAGGGUGCGUAACACGUAUGCAACCUGCCCUCGACAGGAGGAUAGCUCCCCGAAAGGGGAAUUAACCCUCCAUAACACCAUGAGAAGCCGUCUGAUUAUGGUUAAACCGCAAGGGUUCGCGCAUGGGCAUGCGGUUGAUUAGCUAGUUGGCGGGGUAAAGGCCCACCAAGGCGGUGAUCAAUAGGGGUUCUGAGAGGAAGGUCCCCAACACUGGCACUGAGAGACGGGGCAGACUCCUACGGGAGGCAGCAGUAGGGAAUAUUGGACAAUGGUUGGAAGACUGAUCCAGCCAUGCCGGGUGCAGGAAGAAGGCCUUCUGGGUAGUAAACUGCUUUUGCCUGGGGAUAAAAUACCCGUGCGCGGGGAAUUGAAGGUAACAGGGGAAUAAGCCACGGCUAACUACGUG